GGUGAGGUGGCUGAGCGGUCGAAAGCACUGGUCUUGAAAACCAGCAUACGUUUGUAGCGUAUCCAGGGUUCAAAUCCCUGCCUCACCG
rfam:Gammaproteobacteria bacterium Q1 genomic scaffold scaffold6, whole genome shotgun sequence.